rnacentral:lncRNA from 1 species
CCUCAGUUUAUUCUAAAUGUCCCAGACCUUUGGCCUUCUAAAAUCUUCACUAAUAUCAAGGAGCCUGAAUCUUAAUGGGAUUUAUGGCUCACCAUUGCCAUGCAAGCUUUCUAAGGUAUUCAUAGAACUUGUCACUUCCUGGUCAACAUAUCAACAGCAGGAUGUCAUCCUUAUAGUGUACCACCAAGAUUUCCUCUGGGAUAUCAACAUGAUUAAUUCAUAUUGAUUCACAUUUGAAUGAUAUUUUGAAUCGCAUCAUAUUGAUUUAAAUUUAUAUUAAUUCAUAUUAAAUUCAGUCUAUUGUAGUGGAAUGUUUUGCCUUUUUCAUGUAAAAACCAUGUUUGAUUAAUAUUACUCUCAGCGAUGAGUACUGAGAAGAAAGCCAUAUCAGUAGCAUAAAGCAAGCAGCAAAGGCUCUGUGGAUCUGUUGCAGUAAAGAUGGCACAUUCCCAGUUGCUGCAGUAGAGGCCUGGCCAACAUGGUGAAACCCCAUCUCUACUAAAAAUGCAAAAGUUAUCUGGAAAUUGCUUGAAUCUGGGAGGCAGAGGUUGCAGUGAGCUGAGAUUGUGGCACUCCAACCUUGGGGAACAGAGCAAGAUUUCAUCUCA